rnacentral:rRNA from 1 species
UUAAGCGACUAAGCGUACACGGUGGAUGCCCUGGCAGUCAGAGGCGAUGAAGGACGUGCUAAUCUGCGAAAAGCGUCGGUAAGGUGAUAUGAACCGUUAUAACCGGCGAUGUCCGAAUGGGGAAACCCAGUGUGAUUCGUCACACUAUCGUUAACUGAAUACAUAGGUUAACGAGGCGAACCGGGGGAACUGAAACAUCUAAGUACCCCGAGGAAAAGAAAUCAACCGAGAUUCCCCCAGUAGCGGCGAGCGAACGGGGAGCAGCCCAGAGUCUGAAUCAGCUUGUGUGUUAGUGGAACGGUCUGGAAAGUCCGACGGUACAGGGUGAUAGUCCCGUACACCAAAAUGCACAGGUUGUGAACUCGAAGAGUAGGGCGGGACACGUGGUAUCCUGUCUGAAUAUGGGGGGACCAUCCUCCAAGGCUAAAUACUCCUGACUGACCGAUAGUGAACCAGUACCGUGAGGGAAAGGCGAAAAGAACCCCGGCGAGGGGAGUGAAAAAGAACCUGAAACCGUGUACGUACAAGCAGUGGGAGCACCUUCGGGUGUGACUGCGUACCUUUUGUAUAAUGGGUCAGCGACUUAUAUUCUGUAGCAAGGUUAACCGUAUAGGGGAGCCGCAGGGAAACCGAGUCUUAACUGGGCGUUAAGUUGCAGGGUAUAGACCCGAAACCCGGUGAUCUAGCCAUGGGCAGGUUGAAGGUUGGGUAACACUAACUGGAGGACCGAACCGACUAAUGUUGAAAAAUUAGCGGAUGACUUGUGGCUGGGGGUGAAAGGCCAAUCAAACCGGGAGAUAGCUGGUUCUCCCCGAAAGCUAUUUAGGUAGCGCCUCGUGAAUUCAUCUUCGGGGGUAGAGCACUGUUUCGGCUAGGGGGUCAUCCCGACUUACCAACCCGAUGCAAACUACGAAUACCGAAGAAUGUUAUCACGGGAGACACACGGCGGGUGCUAACGUCCGUCGUGAAGAGGGAAACAACCCAGACCGCCAGCUAAGGUCCCAAAGUCAUGGUUAAGUGGGAAACGAUGUGGGAAGGCACAGACAGCCAGGAUGUUGGCUUAGAAGCAGCCAUCAUUUAAAGAAAGCGUAAUAGCUCACUGGUCGAGUCGGCCUGCGCGGAAGAUGUAACGGGGCUAAACCAUGCACCGAAGCUGUGGCAGCGACACUAUGUGUUGUUGGGUAGGGGAGCGUUCUGUAAGCCUGCGAAGGUGGCCUGUGAGGGUUGCUGGAGGUAUCAGAAGUGCGAAUGCUGACAUAAGUAACGAUAAAGCAGGUGAAAAGCCCGCUCGCCGGAAGACCAAGGGUUCCUGUCCAACGUUAAUCGGGGCAGGGUGAGUCGACCCCUAAGGCGAGGCCGAAAGGCGUAGUCGAUGGGAAACAGGUUAAUAUUCCUGUACUUGGUGUUACUGCGAAGGGGGGACGGAGAAGGCUAUGUUAGCCGGGCGACGGUUGUCCCGGUUUAAGCAUGUAGGCUGGUUAUCCAGGCAAAUCCGGAUAAUCAAGGCUGAGGUGUGAUGACGAGGCACUACGGUGCUGAAGUAACAAAUGCCCUGCUUCCAGGAAAAGCCUCUAAGCAUCAGGUAACAUUAAAUCGUACCCCAAACCGACACAGGUGGUCAGGUAGAGAAUACCAAGGCGCUUGAGAGAACUCGGGUGAAGGAACUAGGCAAAAUGGUGCCGUAACUUCGGGAGAAGGCACGCUGGUGUGUAGGUGAAGUCCCUGCGGAUGGAGCUGAGACCAGUCGAAGAUACCAGCUGGCUGCAACUGUUUAUUAAAAACACAGCACUGUGCAAACACGAAAGUGGACGUAUACGGUGUGACGCCUGCCCGGUGCCGGAAGGUUAAUUGAUGGGGUUAUCCGUAAGGAGAAGCUCUUGAUCGAAGCCCCGGUAAACGGCGGCCGUAACUAUAACGGUCCUAAGGUAGCGAAAUUCCUUGUCGGGUAAGUUCCGACCUGCACGAAUGGCGUAAUGAUGGCCAGGCUGUCUCCACCCGAGACUCAGUGAAAUUGAACUCGCUGUGAAGAUGCAGUGUACCCGCGGCAAGACGGAAAGACCCCGUGAACCUUUACUAUAGCUUGACACUGAACAUUGAGCCUUGAUGUGUAGGAUAGGUGGGAGGCUUUGAAGCGUGGACGCCAGUCUGCGUGGAGCCAACCUUGAAAUACCACCCUUUAAUGUUUGAUGUUCUAACGUUGGCCCCUGACCGGGGUUGCGGACAGUGUCUGGUGGGUAGUUUGACUGGGGCGGUCUCCUCCCAAAGCGUAACGGAGGAGCACGAAGGUUAGCUAAUCCUGGUCGGACAUCAGGAGGUUAGUGCAAUGGCAUAAGCUAGCUUGACUGCGAGCGUGACGGCGCGAGCAGGUGCGAAAGCAGGUCAUAGUGAUCCGGUGGUUCUGAAUGGAAGGGCCAUCGCUCAACGGAUAAAAGGUACUCCGGGGAUAACAGGCUGAUACCGCCCAAGAGUUCAUAUCGACGGCGGUGUUUGGCACCUCGAUGUCGGCUCAUCACAUCCUGGGGCUGAAGUAGGUCCCAAGGGUAUGGCUGUUCGCCAUUUAAAGUGGUACGCGAGCUGGGUUUAGAACGUCGUGAGACAGUUCGGUCCCUAUCUGCCGUGGGCGCUGGAGAAUUGAGGGGGGCUGCUCCUAGUACGAGAGGACCGGAGUGGACGCAUCACUGGUGUUCGGGUUGUCAUGCCAAUGGCACUGCCCGGUAGCUAAAUGCGGAAGAGAUAAGUGCUGAAAGCAUCUAAGCACGAAACUUGCCCCGAGAUGAGUUCUCCCUGAGACUUUAAGUCUCCUGAAGGAACGUUGAAGACGACGACGUUGAUAGGCCGGGUGUGUAAGCGCAGCGAUGCGUUGAGCUAACCGGUACUAAUGAACCGUGAGGCUUAACCUU